GUGGACGCACCUCUGGUGUUCCGGUUGUCACGCCAGUGGCAUUGCCGGGUAGCUAUGUGCGGACGGGAUAACCGCUGAAAGCAUCUAAGCGGGAAGCCCCCUUCAAGAUGAGACAUCCCCGAGGCCUUGAGCCUCCUGAAGGGCCCAGCGAGACCAGCUGGUUGAUAGGCCGGGUGUGGAAGCGCUGCAAGGCGUUGAGCUAACCGGUACUAAUGGCCCGUGAGGCUUGACCAU
rnacentral:rRNA from 1 species